rnacentral:rRNA from 1 species
AUUGAACGCUGGCGGCAUGCCUUACACAUGCAAGUCGAACGGUAACAGGUCUUCGGAUGCUGACGAGUGGCGAACGGGUGAGUAAUACAUCGGAACGUGCCCGAUCGUGGGGGAUAACGGAGCGAAAGCUUUGCUAAUACCGCAUACGAUCUACGGAUGAAAGCAGGGGACCGCAAGGCCUUGCGCGGACGGAGCGGCCGAUGGCAGAUUAGGUAGUUGGUGGGAUAAAAGCUUACCAAGCCGACGAUCUGUAGCUGGUCUGAGAGGACGACCAGCCACACUGGGACUGAGACACGGCCCAGACUCCUACGGGAGGCAGCAGUGGGGAAUUUUGGACAAUGGGCGAAAGCCUGAUCCAGCAACGCCGCGUGAGGGAUGACGGCCUCGGUUGUAACGUACUUCUAGUAGGACGAAGACGAAAGUAGACGGUACCGUACAGAAGAAGGAACGGACCGAACACGUAGCCACGCAGCCGCGGUAAACGACGUACGUAGAA